CUCUGGAACCCUCUCCAAACUUUCAUCCACAAGAAAAAUCAAGGGAAACCAAGAUUAACAACAUCAAAUCCAUGAAUCAAAGUGUAUGAAACUCAAGUAAGGUUCAUCUUCCUCAAGGAAAUCCAAAGAGGGAAAGUAGGGUUUUGGUGCUAGAAGGGAAAACUCCACUCAAGGCUUGUCCAACCAUCAUCCAAGAGGCGUGACAGUGAAGAAGAAUAAGCGAACGCUAGAUUGCUUAAACGACAAAGGGGAAGUGGGGAAAGGUGAGGCGCUAUAGACGCAUAGCCACCUGUACAACUGGCAUAUCAUGAUUCCAUCCCGGACGCGGGGUGCCCGGACGCGGGAUAUAUGGGUGAUGGAUCGGGCCGUACGUUCCACGGCAAUAUAUUUAUAUAUGAUGAUAUAUGGAUCGGGCCGUACGUUCCACGGCAAUAUAUUUAUAUAUGAUGAUAUAUGGAUCGGGCCGUUCGUUCCGCGGCAAUAUAUUUAUAUAUAUAAUGAUGUAUGGACCGGGCUGCACGUUCCGCAGCAAUAUAUGAUAUGAUGAUGGAUAUGAAGUAGACAGGGAGACGACGCAGACCUAUAGGAGCUAUCAACAGAUUUUCAGGAGCACUCCAUUAUUCCGGAGGUGCUAAUCGGGUUAUACUUUUGUGUAUAUAUAUAUAUAUAUGUAUAUGUAUUUUGGGCAUGACGGGGUCUUGUCCCGUCCAUAUGUCUAGCACUCCAGUAGAGGCUCGUAGAUGCGCAGUGUGGGUUAGAUGGUCUCACGAGAUGCUAUUUAGUAUAAAUGUUAUUUUAAUGGCCAA